CGGUGUUAAAAUCGGUUGUAACAAAAGAAUGUGGAAAUGCAAUACAGAUGAUCAUAACUGCUGUCCAGGACUAACUUGCAUGCGCUGGGGUAAAGGAUUGGUGUGUGGGACACUGGAUGACUACAAGAAAAGACCUUGCUUGACAGCAUAUGAAAGCUGCGAAUCUAUGUCCUGUUGUGGCAGUUUAAAAUGCAGGUCCGUAACUUCAGCGUACACAAGAAAAAGAAAGCAAUGCACACUUGCAUAAUCCGAAGAAUUUCCAAGCUUUUAUACUUAAGUAAUUAUAUUAGUUCAUGUUUUUUUA